rnacentral:rRNA from 1 species
CAGCAGCCACGGGAAUACGUAGGGUGCAAGCGUUAAUCGGAAUUACUGGGCGUAAAGCGUGCGCAGGCGGUUUGUUAAGACAGAUGUGAAAUCCCCGGGCUCAACCUGGGAACUGCAUUUGUGACUGGCAAGCUAGAGUAUGGCAGAGGGGGAUGGAAUUCCGCGUGUAGCAGUGAAAUGCGUAGAUAUGCGGAGGAACACCGAUGGCGAAGGCAAUCCCCUGGGCCUGCACUGACGCUCAUGCACGAAAGCGUGGGGAGCAAACAGGAUUAGAUACCCGAGUAGUCCCUGUCUCUUAUAC